rnacentral:misc_RNA from 1 species
GAAAUGCGAUACUUGGUGUGAAUUGCAGAAUCCCGUGAACCAUCGAGUCUUUGAACGCACAUUGCACCCGGCGGCCAUUCCGCCGGGUCUGCCUGUCCGAGCGUCGUUUCGCCCCUCGAGCCCCCGUGGCCCGGCGUUGGGGAUCUGCCCAGGCAGGCCCCGAAAACCAGUGGCGGACCCGUUACAGGCCCUUCCUUUGCGUAGUAAUACUGCCUCGCAUCGGGAGCCGGCGGGCUUCCAGCCUCUAAACCCCCAGCAAGUCCGCCCCGGCGGCACCAAGGUUGACCUCGGAUCAGGUAGGAAUACCCGCUGAACUUAA